rnacentral:rRNA from 1 species
UGCAGCGCGAACUGGCGGACUUGAGUGCACGCAACGUAUGCGGAAUCCAUGGUGUAGCGGUGAAAUGCUUAGAUAUCAUGACGAACUCCGAUUGCGAAGGCAGCGUACGGGAGUGUUACUGACGCUUAAGCUCGAAGGUGCGGGUAUCGAACAGGAUUAGAUACCCUGGUAGUCCGCACGGUAAACGAUGGAUGCCCGCUGUUAGCGCCUGGCGUUAGCGGCUAAGCGAAAGCAUUAAGCAUCCCACCUGGGGAGUACGCCGGCAACGGUGAAACUCAAAGGAAUUGACGGGGGCCCGCACAAGCGGAGGAACAUGUGGUUUAAUUCGAUGAUACGCGAGGAACCUUACCCGGGCUUGAAUUGCAGACGCAGGAUACAGAGAUGUUGACUCCCUUCGGGGCGUCUGUGAAGGUGCUGCAUGGUUGUCGUCAGCUCGUGCCGUGAGGUGUCGGCUUAAGUGCCAUAACGAGCGCAACCCCUUUCCUUAGUUGCCAUCAGGUCAUGCUGGGCACUCUGGGGACACUGCCACCGCAAGGUGUGAGGAAGGUGGGGAUGACGUCAAAUCAGCACGGCCCUUACGUCCGGGGCUACACACGUGUUACAAUGGCCGGUACAGAGGGACGGUGCGAUGCAAAUCGCAUCCAAUCUUGAAAGCCGGUCCCAGUUCGGACUGAGGUCUGCAACCCGACCUCACGAAGCUGGAUUCGCUAGUAAUCGCGCAUCAGCCAUGGCGCGGUGAAUACGUUCCCGGGCCUUGUACACACCGCCCGUCAAGCCAUGAAAGCCGGGAGUGCCUGAAGUUCGUAACCGCGAGGAGCGACCUAGGGCAAAACUGGUGAUUGGGGCUAAGUCGUAACAAGGUAGCCGUACCGGAAGG